rnacentral:rRNA from 1 species
UCGAACGGCAGCACGGAGCUUGCUCUGGUGGCGAGUGGCGAACGGGUGAGUAAUAUAUCGGAACGUACCCUAGAGUGGGGGAUAACGUAGCGAAAGUUACGCUAAUACCGCAUACGAUCUAAGGAUGAAAGUGGGGGAUCGCAAGACCUCAUGCUCGUGGAGCGGCCGAUAUCUGAUUAGCUAGUUGGUAGGGUAAAAGCCUACCAAGGCAUCGAUCAGUAGCUGGUCUGAGAGGACGACCAGCCACACUGGAACUGAGACACGGUCCAGACUCCUACGGGAGGCAGCAGUGGGGAAUUUUGGACAAUGGGCGAAAGCCUGAUCCAGCAAUGCCGCGUGAGUGAAGAAGGCCUUCGGGUUGUAAAGCUCUUUUGUCAGGGAAGAAACGGUGAGAGCUAAUAUCUCUUGCUAAUGACGGUACCUGAAGAAUAAGCACCGGCUAACUACGUGCCAGCAGCCGCGGUAAU